rnacentral:rRNA from 1 species
UACGUAGGGGGCAAGCGUUGUCCGGAAUCAUUGGGCGUAAAGCGCGCGUAGGCGGCCCGGUAAGUCCGCUGUAAAAGUCCAGGGCUCAACCCUGGAAAGCCGGUGGAUACUGUCGGACUAGAGUCCGGAAGAGGCGAGUGGAAUUCCUGGUGUAGCGGUGGAAUGCGUAGAUAUCUGGAGGAACACCGGUGGCGAAGGCGGCAUCCUGGACCGGCAUUGACGCUGAGGCGCGAAAGCUAGGGGAGCAAACGGG